rnacentral:ncRNA from 1 species
AGAGCCGUGUGAGGGGAGACUUUCACGCACGGUUCUGUGAGAGGGUGAAACUCCCUCGCUCUACUCGACCCUGUCCUAUUUAGUUUAGGACAGGGGAUAGCCCCCUAUCCU